GUGGGUGAUCUGCCCUGUACUUCGGGAUAAGCUUGGGAAACUGGGUCUAAUACCGGAUAGGACCAUGGUUUAGUGUCUCAUGGUGGAAAAAUUAUUGUUUUGGUGCAGGUUGAGCUCGCGGCCUAUCAGCUUGUUGGUGGGGUAAUGGCCUACCAAGGCGUCGACGGGUAGCCGGCCUGAGAGGGUGGACGGCCACAUUGGGACUGAGAUACGGCCCAGACUCCUACGGGAGGCAGCAGUGGGGAAUAUUGCACAAUGGGCGCAAGCCUGAUGCAGCGACGCCGCGUGGGGGAUGACGGCCUUCGGGUUGUAAACUCCUUUCGUUAGGGACGAAGCCACGCCUUUUUGGGUGUGGUGACGGUACCUUGUAGAAGCCG
rnacentral:rRNA from 1 species